rnacentral:rRNA from 1 species
GACGAACGCUGGCGGCGUGCUUAACACAUGCAAGUCGAACGGAAAGGCCCUGCUUUUGUGGGGUGCUCGAGUGGCGAACGGGUGAGUAACACGUGAGUAACCUGCCCUUGACUUUGGGAUAACUUCAGGAAACUGGGGCUAAUACCGGAUAGGAGCUCCUGCUGCAUGGAGGGGGUUGGAAAGUUUCGGCGGUUGCGGAUGGACGCGCGGCUUAUCAGCUUGUUGGUGGGGUAGUGGCUGACCAAGGCUUUGACGGGUAGCCGGCCUGAGAGGGUGACCGGGCACAUGAGGACUGAGAUACGGACCAGUCUCCUACGGGAGGCAGUGGUGGGAAAUAUUGCCCAAUGGGCCGAAGCCUGAUGCAGCAACGCCGCGUGCGGGAUGACGGCCUUCGGGUUGUAAACCGCUUUCGCCUGUGACGAAGCGUGAGUGACGGUAAUGGGUAAAGAAGCACCGGCUAACUACGUG